GCCCUAGUGUCUUCCUACCCAUAACCCCUCCUACACAGAAGUUCAGGAGCUGCCAGUGGGAUGAUGCAGCCUCCCCUUCAGGGGCCCACUGCCCUGCCUUCCAAGCCCUUCCCAUCACUGGGGCAAUGAACCUGGCCUCACCACACUGUGUCCUGCUGAGAUGUGUUGUCUGCUCAUUGCUCCUUUCAGAAAAGCCUGCGAGAGAGAGGAAAUGAAACAGAGAUGGAAGGAAAUGCAACCCUGGGACUUCCUGGAGCGCUCCUGAGACUGGAAGGGCCACCCGACCUGCACACCCACGUGGCAUUGGCCGGUCCAUGUUUAUCCAGCAACUCCCGGUUCCCAUCCGUAGAGAUGUGUUGUCAAAGAUGGACCAAAAAAUCUCAACACCUAAAGUUCAAGAUACGCGUCUAUAAACCUUGAAAACGCACGGGGGCGUUUGGAGAAAGGCAGAACACCGGAAAGAUAAUGCGAUACACAAGAGAUUGAUUGGAGACGUUUCCAAAAAGGAAAGGCAGGCCAUUCCUCUCUGGCCAAGGCUUGGAGACUGUGGGUACCAGAAGAGAGCCGUAUGCCUGGAAUGGAGCAAGGACAAACAGUCAUAGGUCUCAGCCCUGCCCAUUUAAACUAAUCAUUCUACUCUAUAGACACAUGCACGUGAAUGUUCACUGCAGCACUGUUCUCAGUAGCAAAGACAUGGAAUCAACUUAAAUGCCCGUCAAUGACAGAUUGGAUAACAAAAAUGUGGUACAUAUACACCAUGGGAUACUAUGCAGCCAUAACAAGCAAUGAGGUCAUUCUUCUGCAGGAACAUGGAUGGAGCUGGAGGCCAUCGUCUUUAGCAAACUGACAUAGGAACAGAAAACCAAAUACCGCAUGUUCUCACUUACACGUGGGAGUUAAAUGAUGAGAACUCAUGGACACAAAGAGGGGAACAACAGACACGGGGGCCCAUCAGAGAGUGGAGGGUGGAGGGAGAGGAGCAGAAAGAAGAACUAUUGGGUACUAGGCUCAGUACCUGGGUGAUGAAAUAAUCUGUACAACAAACCCCCGUGACAUGAGUUUACCUGUGUAAGAAACCUGCAUAUGUACCCUUGAACCUAAAAGUAAAAAAAUAAUAAAAAUAAAAUCAAUAAAUGUUCAUUAAAGUUGAUCGCAGCCUGGGGCUACUGUAACAAAUGACCACGAACUGGGGUCUUGAAACAACAGAAAUUUAUCCUCUCACAGUUCUGGAGGCCAGAAACCUGAAAUCGCGGUGCCAGCCGGGCCACACUUCCUCCAAAGGCUCUGGGGAGGAUCUGCCCUUGCCUCUCCCAGCUUCUAGCGGCUCCAGGUGUUCCUGGCUGCUGGCUGCUUCCCUCCAGUCUCCACCUCCAUCAUCACAAGGCCUCUGCUUCUGUGUGAGUGUCUCCUGCUCUCCUGUCUGUUCUAAGAACACUUGACACUGCAUUUAGGGCCUGCCUGAAUAAUCUAGGAAGAUCUUGUCAGAAAAUCGUUAACUAAUUACAUCUGCAAAGAAAGAUCCUUUUUCCAAAUAAGACCACAUUCACAGGAUCUAGGGGUUAGGAUGUGAACAUAUCUUUUUUGGGGGCGGGGAUGGAGUCUGGCUCUGUCGCCCAUGCUGGAGUGUAGUGGCAUGAUCCCGGCCCACUGCAGCCUCCACCUCCCGGGUUCAAGUGAUUCUCCUGCCUCAGCCUCCUGUGUAACUGGGAUUACAGGUGCACAUCACCACACCUGGCUAAUUUUUUUGUAUUUUUAGUAGAAACAGGGUUUCACCAUGUUGGCCAGGCUGGUCUUGAACUCCUGACGUCAAGUGAUCUGCCCGCCUCAGACUUCCACGGACACAUCUUUUGGAGGGCCACCUUUCAGCAGGAAGAAAGCACACAGAGAACCUCAUCUUCUCCACCUCUCUCCAAACACAUUGACAUAAGAGAUUAAAUAUCUUACACAUAUUUUAAAGUACACAGGCUCACUCAAAACAAGAACCUCACUAUGAGCCCAAACAGAUUGAGGUCAAGACCACAGAGCUCUCUGGGAGUCAGGAGCAGAUCAAGGUUGGCACAACCCAUCCUGAAGGAGUGUCCGUGCCUCCUGCUCCUCAGAGCAACCAAAAUCUCUCCACCAACCAGAAACCAUGAAACAGCCCCGAAAGGAAGCUGAGAGAGAUGCACACAGGAGGAAACUCCAAAAACUACAAGCUCUCAAACAGAAGUAACAGACAGCGCAAGGAAAUUCAGCCGAUGGAAGAAACCCACAUGAGACAGACCAAAGAAAUAGGAGCUCAUUUCUUUGAGCUCAUUCCACUCCAGGAGACAGUGGAGUAACACAUGCAUGGUGCUGGGGAAAAAGAGCUUCUCACUGAGCAGGCCACGCCCACCUGAUUUCUUAUUCAAGAUGGAGCUGAGAUUAAGGCACUUUCAGACAUAUGCAGACAAGAACUACUACCCGUAGGAACCUUUGCUGAAUGAAAUGCUCAAGGACAUACCUAACAAAGCAAAAAAUGAACCCCAGCAAUGGGGUCAGAAAUCAAUAAACCUUGGCAAAUCUAAGCAGG
rnacentral:lncRNA from 10 species